rnacentral:rRNA from 1 species
CCAAUAGCGUAUAUUAAAGUUGUUGCAAUUAAAAAGCUCGUAGUUGAAUUUCGGGGUCAGUAGGUUGGUCAUGCCACUGGUAUGUACUGGUCUCACUGAUUCCUCCUUCCUGAUGAGCCGUAAUGCCAUUAAUUUGGUGUUGCGAGGAAUCUGGACUGUUACUUUGAAAAAAUUAGAGUGUUUAAAGCAGGCUAACGCUUGAAUACAUUAGCAUGGAAUAAUGAAAUAGGACGUUCGAUCUUAUUUUGUUGGUUUCUAAGAUUGACGUAAUGAUUAAUAGGGAUAGUUGGGGGCAUUAGUAUUCAAUUGUCAGAGGUGAAAUUCUUGGAUUUAUUGAAGACUAACUACUGCGAAAGCAUUUGCCAAGGAUGUUUUCAUUAAUCAAGAACGAAAGUUAGGGGAUCGAAGACGAUCAGAUACCGUCGUAGUCUUAACCAUAAACUAUGCCGACUAGGGAUCGGAUGAUGUUAAUUUUUUAAUGACUCAUUCGGCGCCUUACG